rnacentral:tRNA from 1 species
GGGAAGAUGGCUCAGUGGUAGAGUGCUUGCCUUGCAUGCAUGAGGCCCUGGGUUCGAUUCCUCAGC